GGUCAUGGCUUGGCUACACGAGAAGCUAAGCACAGGUUGUGGGCAUCUCAGUUAUCUAAUACGAGGAUGGGUGGCUUUUUUUCUUUUUUCUUUUUUUUAAGGUCAGACUUUGCUGGUGAAAGCAGCUGAAACACUGUGGAUUCCUGAGGCUUGCUUCUGAUGACCAGCUUUUUCUUGCCCUGUAGCCAGUCUCCUUUUUAAAAAAAAAUCAGCUCUUCCUUCCUCCUCUUCCUCCUCCCCUCCUCUUCUUCCUCCUCUUCCUUCUCUUCCUCUUCCUCUUCCUCCUCUGCUUUUUCCUCUUCCUUUUCCUCUUCCUCCUCUGCUUCUUCCUCUUCCUCUUCCUCCUCUCCUCCUCCUCUGCUUCUUCCUCCUCCUCCUCUCCUUCCUCCUCCUCUCCUUCCUCCUCCUCUUCCUCCUCCUCCUCUUUUUCUUCCUCCUCCCUUCUCCUCCCUUCUCCCUUCUCCAACAGGUCCCAUCCCUUCAGGGACUUCCUUGUAUGCUCUGAAACAGAUUCCCAAGAGAACAUGAAGCCAUUAUCCCUGCAACCGAGGUUGUUCAUUGCCUGCUUCUCGGCCUUUUAGGUCUGUCCUUCUGGCAGGCAGAGCAACAUCGAGGCUCCUCAGUCUCUAGAGACUCCAUUUCCUCCCCAAGGGGCCCCUAGGAAAGAGCGAGGUAAUCGCCCCUCCCCUCCUGUCCUGCUCACUCUAGAACUUCUCUUCGUGGUAUAUUCAGCCCUUGUUCCUGAUCUUCAGCUUCCUCGGGAAGACUCCUGUUUCUUGGAGUGCUCAUUUGGUCCUUGGGUACUAUAGAAUCUCUCACAGAUUCAUCAGACUCCCAUUCUCUCUUUCUGGAGCCCCCCACCCCCCUUUUCUCCACGUUCCUCCUGCCUAGAGAAUCAGGGAAGAGCUAAGGAACUUGGCUAUGGGGGCUUGUGGAUGUGAAAGGCCCUGAGUGACCUACAUAAGCCUCCUGCCAGGGGAAUGAGGGAUGUUUCUAAUUGGGAACAUGGCUUAGUCAAGAGUGCGUGCCUGCAUGUGUAAAGAGUGUGAGUUUUUUUAAAAAUAAUUUUAAUUUCUCAUCAGAGAAUGCCGUGCAUUCCUUCCUGCUUUCCCCAGUGGAGCCUCUCAUCUCCUCAGAAGGCUGAGGAACAGCAGGUGGGACAGUGCAGAGUGCAGGAGAUAGAGCAGCUGGGAUUGGGGCGGGGGUGACCUUGGGCCAAGUCACAGCCACUUUCUGGGUCUCAGGAUUUCUAUCUAUGCGUUUGACCAGAAGAACUCUCCCCAGGCUGAGGAUUCUGGGUCCACUAUCCACUUCUAAUCCCAGAUAUGAUCCAAAAUUGGAGGAGGACUAUCAGUAAGAAUGUCUUUCCCAGGCUAGACCUAAUGCUGGCCUUGGCCCAGAUAAUCUUCGGCCUCAAGUCCAUGUUACCAGGGGGACAUGCCAGAGAGUAGCUAGCUACACACAUAUCACACAAAUACACACAUCACAGCUGCCUGCUUGUAUCCCUCCUCACCUACUCACCCAAAAGACUAAAGAAAUUAUUCUUUUGGAGUUGGGGUUUGAGCUAGUAAGGGCUGACCAGUGGGUACUCAUGUGAGUUAGCCAGCUCUAGUAUCUGCCAGGGUGGCAGAUACUCACUGGAGCUGGGAUAAUUCGCUCAGGGCAUGGCAGGCGGCGCCUUUAGAUGAUCUCCCUGCUCGGGUUUCUUGUUGGCACGUCCAGAGCCUUUUGCUUUUGGGGCUGUCCCGUUUCCAAGUUUCCUCCCACCAGUGCCUUUUCACUUGCAGUUGUGUGGUGGUGUGGGUGUCCUGGCCACUCUGUCCAGCUCCACACUCUGCCCACCUGCACGUCUGCAUUUUUCUUUCCGUGUGACUCCUUUGGGGUGAGGAUGGCAAACUCCUCCUGGAUGCCUUCGCUCCUUUGUGGAAUGGGGCCACGGCCAGGACCUGUCUGUUCAGGGCUACAGUUUCAGUGGCUCAGGGCGUUCACAACCAUGGGUCUGUUCUCUGUGUUGUCACUCUCAGGAAAUGUGUGGUUUUCUUUAGAAAUCCGCUCUCCCCUAAGUGCUAGCUUCCAGGAUGACAUUUUUAUUCUUACAAUGAGGUUUAUUUAUUUAUUUAUUUAAAAAAAAAUCCUACUAUCAAGCCAGUUUAUUUAUUUAUUUUUCACCAAGAGACAAGACAGAGGAAAUGAAGCAAUCGUUGUGUGUGUGCUUGGACUCACAUCUAGAUAGGUCUGGAUGGCACCAUCCCUGAGGACUGGAAGCCGCUCUCCUGCCCUGACGCUUGUCCCUCUUCCCUAUUUUCUGCUGCUCCACUGGGGGCGAGGGGUGGGAGGGGGUGAGGCCAUGGGAACUCCUGAACUAUCAGAAAAUC
rnacentral:lncRNA from 1 species